CCUACGGGUGGCAGCAGUGAGGAAUAUUGGACAAUGGGCGAGAGCCUGAUCCAGCCAUGCCGCGUGCAGGAAGACGGCCCUAUGGGUUGUAAACUGCUUUUACAGAGGAAGAAACCCUCCCACGUGUGGGAGCUUGACGGUACUCUGCGAAUAAGGAUCGGCUAACUCCGUGCCAGCAGCCGCGGUAAUACGGAGGAUCCAAGCGUUAUCCGGAAUCAUUGGGUUUAAAGGGUCCGUAGGCGGGACAAUAAGUCAGUGGUGAAAGUCUGUGGCUCAACCAUAGAAUUGCCGUUGAAACUGUUGUCCUUGAGUAAUUAUGAAGUGGUUAGAAUAUGUAGUGUAGCGGUGAAAUGCAUAGAUAUUACAUAGAAUACCGAUUGCGAAGGCAGAUCACUAAUAAUUCACUGACGCUGAUGGACGAAAGCGUAGGUAGCGAACAG
rnacentral:rRNA from 1 species